AAGAUCAUCUGAGCUGUGUCUUCCUGAAACCUCAGAAAUGAUUUCCCUCGGUGGUUCUGAUGUCCCCAAAAGAGUCUAUGGCAGACUGAACAAGUCACGGACUUCUCUUUUUACUCACGACUUGGCCACUUUACUUUUUGCUAUUGUAUUUCACUUUGUUUGACUUAAAGGAUUAGUUCACUU